rnacentral:rRNA from 1 species
CCUACGGGUGGCAGCAGUGGGGAAUAUUGGACAAUGGGGGGAACCCUGAUCCAGCCAUGCCGCGUGUGUGAAGAAGGCCCUCGGGUUGUAAAGCACUUUCAGUGAGGAAGAACGCCUGGUGGUUAAUACCCAUCAGGAAAGACAUCACUCACAGAAGAAGCACCGGCUAACUCCGUGCCAGCAGCCGCGGUAAUACGGAGGGUGCGAGCGUUAAUCGGAAUUACUGGGCGUAAAGCGCGCGUAGGUGGCUUGAUAAGCCGGUUGUGAAAGCCCCGGGCUCAACCUGGGAACGGCAUCCGGAACUGUCAUGCUAGAGUGCGGGAGAAGAAGGCAGAAUUCGUGGUGUAGCGGUGAUAUGCUUAGAGAUCGCGCGGAAUACCAGUGGCGAAGGAGGAUUACUGAGCUAAAACUGACACUGAGGUGCGAAAGCGUGGGGACCAAACAGGAUUAGAUACCCUGGUAGUC